GGGUUCCGCUUGACUCUGCAUUCUCCUACUUCCCUGCCUGCUUACUCUCUGCCAUCAUAGUUUUUUGCUUCAACCUUCAAAUGUAGCCAUUCUUUUUCUAAAGCGCUCCUUUGUUUCAGGUCAGCCUUUCAAGAUGGAUCAUUUCAAUUCAUUACAUCUUAACUAGCCACAAGGGGAAUAGGCUGUGAUGGAGGAGAAGCUACCCCUCAGCACAGGAUUUUGGUAGAAUAAGAAUAAAAAUGACAAGUCCCUUCCUGAAAAGCUCUUCAUUGUCUCUUGAAAACGGUCUGUGAAAGUGCCAAACCACCAGCUCUCCAGAUGUGGCUGAAUAUCAAGGCAUCCUCACAUGGUGGAAGGGACAGAAGGCAAAAAAGGGAGGAACACUGUGUCCUCACAUGGCAGAAGAGCAGAAGAGAAUGAACUCAUUCCCUCAAGCCCUGCUAGAAGGGCACUACUCUCAUCCACUAGGACUCCAACCUCACAGCUUCAUCACCUCUUAAAAGCCCCACCUCUUCAUACUAUCAGUUGAUUAUUAAAUUCCAACAUCUGAAUGUUGGAGGACACAUCCAGACCGUAGCAUCCCUCAAAAAAAGAAUAAAGAUGUUCCAUA
rnacentral:lncRNA from 1 species